ensembl:lncRNA
CGCACCCUGCCAAUUAUUUUUAACACAUAAAAAUUCAAUGAAAUACGUGGAUCGAGAGAAAAGUUAGGCAUGACCCAAGGAACGGCUGCCCAGGGAGCCGUCCACAUGCCCUCUCGGCCCCUCCUCUCUCUCUGAAUUGUGUCUCCAACCUGCCAAAAGGUCCCUCUAAUCCCUCUGGUGUUUUUCUGAAAUUUUAUUUUAUUUUCCUCCUCAGCGUACUGGUCAAUGAAGGCCUGGGGGAAUGAAAGGGGCCUUGAGAUAAGCCGGGGUCACAGAUUAGGGUGGGCCUCAUGGGCUCUCGGGAGUGGAUGUCCCUAGUGUGCUGUCCACUGAUGACCUCUUCCCUGAGGAUGGCCAGUCCCCACAACCCCGCUGAACGCACAGGCCUGGGCAGCCACCUUCCCGCCAUGUGACCCUGCCCGGUCCCGCAGUGAGUCGAACCAGAAGCUGGCUGGUCCAGUCAGAUUCCUCCUGCAGUACUGGGCUGGAAGCCAUAUGGAUAUGGGGCUGAAUAUAAAAAAUGGUCAUUUGAAGCAGACUGAGAGAGAAGGAGAGAGAGGAUCCCAUUGUGCGAAAGGCAGAGAUGAGAAGAACCAGGUGUCCCCUGUCUGGGAGACAGGUGUAGACAGAUGUGCUAGGAAAGGUUCCCUGCUGGCCCGGUGCGGUGGUUCAUGCCUGUAACCCUAGCACUUUGGGAAGCUGAGGCAGGCGGAUUGCCUGAGCUCAGGAGUUCAAGGCCAGCGUGGGCAACAUGGUGAAACCCCAUCUCUACUAAAAUACAAAAAAUUAGCCGGGCGUGGCGGCAUGCACCUGUAGUCUCAGCUACUCAGGAGGCUGAGGUAGGAGAAUUGUUCGAAUCUAGGAGGCAGAGGCUGCAGUGAGCCGAGAUCACACCAUUGCACUCCAGCCUGGGUAACAGAAUGAGACUCCAUUUUCAUAGGGAAAAAAAAAAAAAGGUGUCCUGCUCUUUGGGGAAAAAUCCUCAUGGCUCAUGGCUCUUGCCAAAUCCCUGCUGUAAACACCCAUAUCAUGCCAAUAUUAGCUGCCCCUGUAAAGUCACUGAAUAGGGACUUGGGAAGAGGUAUCCAUAGUUGGCUCUUGCUGGUCUGGGCUGGGUGUGGCCUCGGUUUCUGAUGGUUUCACCAUCCUCAUGGGGCCUGGCGGCUGUCUAUUUUUGGCCAUGAAUAUUCUCUGCCCCUCCAAAGGUGUGACCCAAAGGCAGUCUCUCAGAAGUGUCUGAAGCCAAGAAACACAGCCCAGCAACCAAGUAAAGGAACUGAAGACUUUUGCUUCUUGGCCAGGCAUGGUGGCUCAUACCGGUAAUCCCAGCACUUUGGGAGGCCGAGGCAGGAGGAUCAUUUGAGGCCAGGAGUUUGAGACCAGCCUGGGCAGCAUAGUGAGAAUCUGUCUGUAUAAAAUAUUUUUUAAGAAUUAGCCAGGUGUGGUGGCAUGUGCCUGUAGUCCCAGCUACUCUGGAGACUGAAGUGGGAGGAUUGCUUGAGCCCAGGAGUUGGAGGCUGCAGUGAGCUGUGAUUGUGUCCACUGCACUCCAGCCUGGGUGACAGAGUAAGAUCCUGUCUCUGAAAAAAAAAAAAAAAAAAAAAAAAA